GAAUUGACGGGGGCCCGCACAAGCGGAGGAACAUGUGGUUUAAUUCGAUGAUACGCGAGGAACCUUACCCGGGCUUGAAUUGCAGAUGAAGGAUCCAGAGAUGGUGACGCCCUUCGGGGCAUCUGUGAAGGUGCUGCAUGGUUGUCGUCAGCUCGUGCCGUGAGGUGUCGGCUCAAGUGCCAUAACGAGCGCAACCCCUCUCUUCAGUUGCCAUCAGGUGAUGCCGGGCACUCUGGAGACACUGCCACCGCAAGGUGUGAGGAAGGUGGGGAUGACGUCAAAUCAGCACGGCCCUUACGUCCGGGGCUACACACGUGUUACAAUGGGGGGUACAGAAAGCCGGCUGCCCGCAAGGUCAGUCCAAUCAAGAAAGCCUCCCUCAGUUCGGACUGGGGUCUGCAACCCGACCCCACGAAGCUGGAUUCGCUAGUAAUCGCGCAUCAGCCAUGGCGCGGUGAAUACGUUCCCGGGCCUUGUACACACCG
rnacentral:rRNA from 1 species